UACAGAGGGUGCGAGCGUUGUUCGGAAUUAUUGGGCGUAAAGGGCGCGUAGGCGGUGCGGCAAGUCACCUGUGAAAUCUCUGGGCUCAACCCAGAGUCUGCUUCCGAAACUGCUGUGCUUGAGUGUGGGAGAGGCGCGUGGAAUUGCAGGUGUAGCGGUGAAAUGCGUAGAUAUCUGCAGGAACACCCGUGGCGAAAGCGGCGCGCUGGACCACUACUGACGCUGAGGAACGAAAGCUAGGGGAGCAAACAGG
rnacentral:rRNA from 1 species